UUAUGUCAAGUUUCCUGAGGCUUCCCCGGCCAUGUGGAACUGUGACAUUCCCUUCACAUGGCCGCCCACCAUGCUGAACUGAUGGAUUAUUGCAAGUCCUGGUCCUGGUUUGGUUGCCGCGUCCACAGCUCCUUGUGCAUUCUUCCCAAAGACUCCAUUCCGACCAGCUACCAUCCACUAUACAAAGGUGAACCAUUACACCAUCAGGGCUUCCCACCAUUGGCUGGAAGGGGCUGGUUGCACAGACGACUCCUCUUUUGGAUGCCUUUUCCACAGGUGACACUGCAGGCUCUCCAUGCAGACCACUGGGAAAAUCCACCAUGAACUGCAAAUAAAACAUUGUACUUUGUCUAAGCUUUUGCAAAUAAAACAUUGUAAAGGAGAUUUCAUUUAAGAUAUGCACGGGUUACAGAGCUAAAUAUAUAGUUGCUGAGAAAUAGCGUAUGGAAGCUCUCCUUUAAGGAAAAUUAAAAUCCAAGAGAGAGAGAAGAACUUCAGUUAGCCAAAGUUUCUUCUCAGAUCGAAUCCUCACUCACUUGCACAUGGCUGCUGGAAGAGUUAGAGACCAACAA
rnacentral:lncRNA from 1 species